rfam:Gossypium arboreum cultivar AKA8401 contig_78648_3, whole genome shotgun sequence.
AACACAUGGUGAGGACACCUUCUCAAUAAGUCCUUGUAUCUCUCCCAUGCAUCGUAAAGUAUUUCUGAAACCAUCUACACAAAAGAAGAAAUAUCAUUCCUCAACUU